AUUGAACGCUGGCGGCAGGCCUAACACAUGCAAGUCGAACGAGUGGCGGACGGGUGAGUAAUGCUUGGGAAUCUAGCUUAUGGAGGGGGAUAACUACGGGAAACUGUAGCUAAUACCGCGUACCAUAGGAUGAGCCCAAGUGGGAUUAGUUAGUUGGUGGGGUAAAGGCUCCCCAAGCCGACGAUCGCUAGCUGGUCUGAGAGGAUGACCAGCAACACUGGAACUGAGACACGGCCCAGACUCCUACGGGAGGCAGCAGUGGGGAAUAUUGCACAAUGGGCGCAACCUGACGCAGCCAUGCCGCGUGAAUGAAGAAGGCCUUCGGGUUGUAAAGUACUUUCAGUAGGGAGGCGUUAACUGCAGAAGAAGCACCGGCUAACUCCGUGCCAGCAGCCGCGGUAAUUC
rnacentral:rRNA from 1 species